GGCCCCGUAGUUCAAUGGAUAGAAUAGAAGUUUCCUAAACUUUAGAUGCAAGUUCGAUUCUUGCCGGGGCCA
rnacentral:tRNA from 1 species